GGGAGUAAUAGCCCACCAAGGCAAUGAUGGGUAGGGGUUCUUAGUGGAAGAUCCCCCACACUGGCACUGAGAUACGGGCCAGACUCCUACGGGAGGCAGCAGUAGGGAAUAUUGGUCAAUGGGCGCAAGCCUGAACCAGCCAUUCCGCGUGCAGGAUGAAGGCUCUACGAGUUGUAAACUGCUUUUGUACAGGAACAAAAAAGCCCCUGCGGGGGUUCUUGAGUGUACUGUAAGAAUAAGCACCGGCUAAUUCCGUGCCAGCAGCCGCGGUAAUACGGAAGGUGCAAGCGUUAUCCGGUUUUAUUGGGUUUAAAGGGUGCGUAGGCGGCUUAUUAAGUCAGUUGUGAAAUCCUAGCGCUCAACGUUAGAACUGCGAUUGAUACUGAUAGGCUUGAGUCAAGAAGAGGUAGGUAGAAUUUAUGGUGUAGUAGUGAAAUGCUUAGAUAUCAUAAGGAAUACCAAUAGCGUAGGCAGCUUACUGGUCUUGAACUGACGCUGAG
rnacentral:rRNA from 1 species